UGGCUUAAUUGGUAGAGUACCUGCCUUGCAAGCAUGAGUUUCUAGGUUCAAUUCCCAG
rnacentral:tRNA from 1 species